CACAAACAGAUCCUGACAGAUCUCUGGAGGCAAUGUGAAAACGUGAAGAAGUUGGUUCUGGAGAUGGUGUACCAGAGUCACCAACGCAAGCCAAUGAAGCCCUUUUGGUUGCAGCAGAUGAGAGAGGGUUGGCCUGGCUAAAUGCCUUCAACAGCUUAAGGGAAGAUGUUGAAUCGGGUUCUCGACUUCGAGUAGCAUGCUUUUUUACCGUAAGUACUGAAGUCAAGUCAGUCAUAUCCAAAAGUCUAGUUCAUAACAACUCAGCCAUGCACUAACAGAGAAACGAGAAGCAGAAACUCAGGUGCUUCUCUUUAAAGUUCAGGUACAGCUUAUGUAACACUCUUUGAACUGAGAUCUCAAAUGAAACAUGGCUGUGGUGCACACAUGACAAAUCUAGUACCAAGAAAAUCUAUAUCAAUAUUCUGAAUUGAACAUACCUGUGCUUGUGGAGGAUUGAUGGCUUCUUUCGCUGUCUUCCCUACUCUAUGUGCGCUAAUUUUUGGCCUUCUCGGAGCUGGCAAUGGUUUAAUCUGAAAUUUUGGAAUAAAUGUGUCUCAAAAAGACCAUAAACAGUGUCAAUUGUCACCCAAAAAAAAAAA